CUAAAAUUAGAAUGGUACUGAGAUGAUUAGCAUAGUCCCUACACAACGAAGACAUACAAAUGCAUUAGCAUUCCAUAUUUUU
rnacentral:snRNA from 1 species